GUGUCCUUGCAGCUCACUGCCAAGGUUUAAAGUCAAGGUUUGGUGGCUCUCUCACUGAUAAUACUGUGGAAUAGGUGCACUGCCACACAGCACUCCCUGUU